AUUUAUACCUCAAAUAUUCUUUAUGCCCAACACAAAAAUUAAGGAGUUCUCUAAACCUGUUUAUUCAUUAAUUCAAGUUUGGGAAUAUUAAAUGAAUCAAUUUGAACAUGAACACUAAACUGCCACAUUUUUUCUUCUGUGCUUUCACUUCUCAGUUACUGAAAUUUUAAUAGAUAGAAUAGAAAUAAUAUAUUAGCAAACAGGGAGAUAUAUAACAUUUUGAUGUCGGUAAAUUAACUUUGGAGUGAAUUACACUAAUGUAAGCACAGCAGCACCACUAGAGUUAAGAUGCACAGCAUAGGGAAGGUACCAGUGUUCCAAGAGUCAGGUAUUGGGUUAAAAAUAACUUCCUUAUGGUUAAUUUGUGUUCAAAGUCCUCCCCCCCCCCACUUCUUCCUGUUUAUAUAUGGUCAAGUCUAUAUGUAAUUAAGGAGAAGCACCGACUUAAAUGUGUUUGUACAUUGUGUAAUUAUUCUCAACAUUUGUUUAAUGGUCCCAAAAUAACUGUCUCCGAGAAGUGAUACUUUAUAUUCCUGAUACGUUGUCAAUACAAAAAAAAAAAAUCUUAUAUAACUCGAAUGUUUUUCAGGCAACUUGAAAACCUGGGAAAUGUAUAGUGAAUAAAUACGGCCACCUUUUCUGGGUCCC
rnacentral:lncRNA from 1 species